rnacentral:tRNA from 1 species
AAGAUUCUAGUAAAAUACAUUACACUACUUUGUCAAGGUAGAAUUGCGAGUUUAAAUCCCGCGUAUCUUA